UACGUAGGGUGCGAGCGUUAAUCGGAAUUACUGGGCGUAAAGCGUGCGUAGGCGGUCCGCGAAGUCUGAUGUGAAAGCCCCGGGCUUAACCUGGGAAUGGCGGUUGAAACUAGUCGACUCGAAUCUGGCAGAGGGGGGUGGAAUUCCACGUGUAGCAGUGAAAUGCGUAGAGAUGUGGAGGAACACCGAUGGCGAAGGCAGCCCCCUGGGCUGAGAUUGACGCUCAGGCACGAAAGCGUGGGGAGCAAACAGG
rnacentral:rRNA from 1 species